GAGGGGGAGAGAGCUCUCCAGCGUUUGCGAGGGCGGUGUCGUCCUCAGGUUCUUUCUUCGUUCUUUCGCUUGCUUCAGACUCUUGCUUGGACGAUUGGUUUGCGAUUUGGAUUCAUCCGUCUCAUCUGCCGCUUGAUCGCGAGAUGUAUCGACGAGGUUUAACAUGUCCUAAUGCAUGUAGAAUGAUGACUUGCAGCGAAACCAUACAUACAAUGGGUAAAUACUCGGAUCGCUUUCCUCUUUGCUCUCGAUGCAGAGGCCGGCCACUUCGCUCUAUAACAUCACGGCUCAUCUUCCGGUGGUCGAAUCGAUUGGGUUCUCACUGCUCUUAGCCAGGCGUUCACCCAGUGUGUCUUUGACCGCUGGGUCCUGAUGUCUUCCGAUCUAUAGGAUGAGGCUCGUGAUCGACAUCCGUCAGAGGAAGGGCUUGAAGAAGCAGAUUACCCCUCUCCCCAAAUACCAAAACCAGCUCUAAAUUUCCCAAAAUGCUUCUGGUGCAGGUCUUCAACCACAUACAUUUACUACACGAAGACCUUUUUGGCUGAAUCGGGAUAUCCAGUGAAACCAAUUUGAAGGUCACCGAUC